GAUGGACGCUGGCGGCGUGCCUAAUACAUGCAAGUAGAACGCUGAAGGAAGGAGCUUGCUCUUUCCGGAUGAGUUGCGAACGGGUGAGUAACGCGUAGGUAACCUGCCUGGUAGCGGGGGAUAACUAUUGGAAACGAUAGCUAAUACCGCAUAACAGUAGAUGUUGCAUGAUAUCUACUUAAAAGGUGCAAUUGCACCACUACCAGAUGGACCUGCGUUGUAUUAGCUAGUUGGUGAGGUAACGGCUCACCAAGGCGACGAUACAUAGCCGACCUGAGAGGGUGAUCGGCCACACUGGGACUGAGACACGGCCCAGACUCCUACGGGAGGCAGCAGUAGGGAAUCUUCGGCAAUGGACGGAAGUCUGACCGAGCAACGCCGCGUGAGUGAAGAAGGUUUUCGGAUCGUAAAGCUCUGUUGUAAGAGAAGAACGAGUGUGAGAGUGGAAAGUUCACACUGUGACGGUAUCUUACCAGAAAGGGACGGCUAACUACGUG
rnacentral:rRNA from 1 species